UCAAGCGUUGUUCGGAUUCAUUGGGCGUAAAGGGUGCGUAGGCGGCGCGGUAAGUCGGAUGUGAAAUCUCGGAGCUUAACUUCGAAACUGCAUUCGAUACUGCCGUGCUUGAGGACUGGAGAGGAGACUGGAAUUUACGGUGUAGCGGUGAAAUGCGUAGAUAUCGGGAGGAACACCGGUGGCGAAGGCGGGUCUCUGGGCAUCUCCUGACGCUGAGGCGCGAAAGCGUGGGGAGCAAACGGG
rnacentral:rRNA from 1 species